CCCUAUGGGGUGCAGCAGGCGCGAAACCUCAGCAAUGCACGAAAGUGUGACUGGGGGACUCCGAGUGCUCAUGUAACGCAUGGGCUUUUGCCAAAGGUAAGGUCUUUGGCGAAUAAGCGGGGGGUAAUACUGGUGCCAGCCGCCGCGGUAACACCAGAGCCGCUAGUGGGGACCGCUCUUAUUGGGCCUAAAGCGUUCGUAGCCGGUCGAGUACAUCCCCUGUGAAAUCGUUGCGCUUAACGUAACGGCGUGCAGAGGAGACGGCUCGACUUGGGACCGGGAGGCGUAUGAGGUAUUCUUGGGGUAGCGGUAAAAUGCGAUCAUCCUGAGAGGACCACCUGUGGCGAAGGCGUCAUACGAGAACGGAUCCGACGGUGAGGGACGAAAGCUAGGGGAGCAAACCGGAUUAGAUACCCGAGUAGUCCUAGCAGUAAACUCUGCGAGCCAGGUGUUGCGCAUUCUACGGGAGUGUGCAGUGUCGAAGAGAAGUCGCUCAGCUCGCCGCCUGGGAAGUACGGUCGCAAGGCUGAAACUUAAAGGAAUUGGCGGGGGAGCACUGCAAGGGGUGCGGCGUGCGGUUUAAUUGUAUUCAACACCGAGCAUCUUACCAGGGGCGACGGCAGGAUGAAGGUCAGUCUGAAGGGCUUACCUGACGAGCCGAGAGGUAGUGCAUGGCC
rnacentral:rRNA from 1 species